AACCUCCAUUUUUAAAUCCUAGUUUGCAAAAUAUAAACCUGUUGAAACAGUAAAUUGAUAUGUACUUAUUUUAGAAUUACAUUUUUUUUCAUAGUUUGUAUAUUCUAAUGCAAUUGUGUCUCACAUCCCCAAAGGGAGCCGAGACAAAAAGGUUUUGGAAACCACUGGGUGGUGGACUAAAACUUAAAUUUGAACAUUUCAACAUAGAUUCUUCAACCAUCCAAAAUACGUUUUUGACUAAAAACCAAUCCACACCGCCAUUCACACCCCAGGUCAUGGCAGCGAUGUGGAUGAGAGAGCAUGACCGGAGCAGAAGAAUUCCAACAGCAUCUCUCCGGUUCAGUUACACAAUCUGCUCACCAUAUGACACACAGCAGAGAAACGCAACGAUCCACAGCGCCACCGAAACGCUCCCACCCAUUUGAGCAA
ensembl:lncRNA